UACGUAGGGGGCUAGCGUUGUCCGGAUUUACUGGGCGUAAAGCGCGCGUAGGCGGAAGCUCAAGUCUGGCCUGAAAGCCCCCGGCUCAACCGGGGAGUGGGGCUGGAAACUGGGUUUCUUGAGGGCGAUAGAGGAGUGUGGAAUUCCCGGUGUAGCGGUGAAAUGCGAGAGCUCGGGAGAACAUCGGUGGCGGAAAGCGCUCUACUGGACUGCA
rnacentral:rRNA from 1 species